rnacentral:piRNA from 1 species
UGCUAUUCGGGACUCGAUCGUGAAGUGC